UACGUAGGGCGCAAGCGUUUGUCCGGAAUUAUUGGGCGUAAAGAGCUCGUAGGCGGUCUGUCGCGUCUGCUGUGAAAAUCCGGGGCUCAACCCCGGACUUGCAGUGGGUACGGGCAGACUAGAGUGUGGUAGGGGAGACUGGAAUUCCUGGUGUAGCGGUGAAAUGCGCAGAUAUCAGGAGGAACACCGAUGGCGAAGGCAGGUCACUGGGCCGCAACUGACGCUGAGGAGCGAAAGCAUGGGGAGCGAACAGG
rnacentral:rRNA from 1 species